rnacentral:rRNA from 1 species
UAGGGAAUCUUCGGCAAUGGGGGCAACCCUGACCGAGCAACGCCGCGUGAGUGAAGAAGGUUUUCGGAUCGUAAAGCUCUGUUGUAAGUCAAGAACGAGUGUGAGAGUGGAAAGUUCACACUGUGACGGUAGCUUACCAGAAAGGGACGGCUAACUACGUGCCAGCAGCCGCGGUAAUACGUAGGUCCCGAGCGUUGUCCGGAUUUAUUGGGCGUAAAGCGAGCGCAGGCGGUUUGAUAAGUCUGAAGUUAAAGGCUGUGGCUCAACCAUAGUUCGCUUUGGAAACUGUCAAACUUGAGUGCAGAAGGGGAGAGUGGAAUUCCAUGUGUAGCGGUGAAAUGCGUAGAUAUAUGGAGGAACACCGGUGGCGAAAGCGGCUCUCUGGUCUGUAACUGACGCUGAGGCUCGAAAGCGUGGGGAGCGAACAGGAUUAGAUACCCUGGUAGUCCACGCCGUANACGAUGAGUGCUAGGUGUUGGAUCCUUUCCGGGAUUCAGUGCCGCAGCUAACGCAUUAAGCACUCCGCCUGGGGAGUACGACCGCAAGGUUG